rnacentral:rRNA from 1 species
UAGGGAAUCUUCCACAAUGGACGCAAGUCUGAUGGAGCAACGCCGCGUGAGUGAAGAAGGUUUUCGGACCGUAAAGCUCUGUUGUUGGUGAAGAAGGAUAGAGGUAGUAACUGGCCUUUAUUUGACGGUAAUCAACCAGAAAGUCACGGCUAACUACGUGCCAGCAGCCGCGGUAAUACGUAGGUGGCAAGCGUUGUCCGGAUUUAUUGGGCGUAAAGCGAGCGCAGGCGGAAGAAUAAGUCUGAUGUGAAAGCCCUCGGCUUAACCGAGGAAUUGCAUCGGAAACUGUUUUUCUUGAGUGCAGAAGAGGAGAGUAGAACUCCAUGUGUAGCGGUGGAAUGCGUAGAUAUAUGGAAGAAUACCGGUGGCGAAGGCGGCUCUCUGGUCUGCAACUGACGCUGAGGCUCGAAAGCAUGGGUAGCGAACAGGAUUAGAUACCCUGGUAGUCCAUGCCGUAAAACGAUGAGUGCUAAGUGUUGGGAGGCUUCCGCCUCUCAGUGCUGCAGCUAACGCAUUAAGCACUCCGCCUGGGGGAGUACGACCGCAAGGUUGAA